rnacentral:lncRNA from 1 species
AACUACACAAUUCUAGAAUUUUUUUAAGCAGGCAAUAAAAUAUUACAAUUUUACCGUCGAAUAUAAAACUGAACAGACCAAGUGGAGACACAUCCCAUGUUUCUGCAUGGAAGAUUAAACAUUAUAUAGAUGUAAACCGUGAACUAAAUAAUAAACUAAAUGCAAACAGUGCUGGGAAUUUUAUGGAACUUCUAGCUGGUUCCAAUGUUCAUAAAAAAGAGUAAAUAAACAGGUUACUAGCACACAUUUGAUACUUCCUACUAUACAGUUGAUCCUUGAACUUCAUGGAUUCACUUUUACGUGGAUUUUUAUUCCACCUCUGCCACCCCUGAGUCAGCAAGACCAACCCUUCUUCUUCCUCAGCCUGCUCAACAUGAAGAUGACAAGAAUGACGAUCUUUAUGUCAAUCCAGUUCCACUUAAUAAAUAAGGCAGAAAUGGAAGUUCAGAUAGAUCAAAGGAUAAUUGAUUUACACUGCAGGGAAGUUGCAGACCUGGGACUUGAAUCCAAAUCUUGUGACUGUAUCUCAAGCCUUUAUUCACUCUACAAGAUUGCCUCUAACCUGGAGUUAUCAUCUGAUUUUAAAAUAUAGCUACAAACAUAUAUACAAUAUCUCCCACAAAUUUCAGGUCAUAAGUUUGACAAAUCCAAUUAAUUUUAAAUGUAUAGAGUUAGAAAAGACUAAUUUCCUGAAAGAUCACUUUGCUUAUUUAUUACAUAGUGAAAGUAUCACAGAUGUGCUAGGGUGCUGUUUAAAAUAGCCAUAGCAAAGGCUUAUUAAGCUUACUGUUAACAAGACAGUCUGUUGUGGUUCCCCCAUAGCCUAUGUAUGUCUUUGUUGAAUAUGUUUAACUGCAAGACCUAAGUGUCUUCUGAUCCAGAACCAUUUACUUAAUUUUUCAUGUAGGGUCUCAAGCAGUUCGAGGUGACUAGAACAUGAAUACCUAGGUCCUGCUUGCUCCCUGCUGGAGGGGAAAAUGGCUUGUUUACUGCUUGCUACAAAUUGUGCUGAACUCCUAGUCCUGGGUUCCCCAGCUGUAAUCACCAUCUGGGCCCACUGUUUUACCUCACAGGACUUGGGGGAAUUUGUUCUACUAUUUGAUGCUCCUGAUGUUUGCUGUGAUGUGAGUAAUAAAUUGUUCUCUGAUCCAAUGUGUCUUGUCUACUCUUGGGAUGUGUGCAACUGUCACAAGUCAAUUUUUUUGCUUAGUCUUCUCUUUUGGAGUCUUGCUACUCUUUGCUCUUCUCUAUGAGAUUGAGGGCUCUUCCCUGACACUUUCCUUUAUUCCCAGCAAUUAUCUAGGCACAUGGUAUUUUGGUUCUUACUUUACAAAUAAGGAAAUUGAGAGACUUAGUACAAAGUAGAAAGUGACAGAACUGAAAUGAAAAUAUGGUGGAUGUUCUCUCUUAAUCAUUACUUUUGAAAGAACAACAACAACAACAACAACAAAAUAGCAAACCUUGAGCUAGGUUCUGACAUUUUUUGAAUAAAUUCCAAGGAUCACCACAUCUGAUAGAAUUGAGAUGCCAUUUCAUUUGUUUUGAAAGUUGCUACUGUUGAUCAAAUCUGAACUCCAUAAUUAUUGCAAUUAUUGUAUUUUCUUCUGGCAGGAUUAGAAUAUAUGAUUCAUUUGUGCGGUAUGCUAGCAGCAAUACUGGUCUUCCUUCAGUGGAGAGGAAAGACUGUGAAGCUAGAAUAGAAAGUAUGGAAAGCACAGUCAAGUUUGUAGCUUUUAGAGGAUAAGGUUGAAGGAUCUUAUCCUAUCUAGAGGAUAAGAUUGAGAAGACUAAUGCCACAAGGAGUUCCUGGAGAUUCCAUUCAGCUCUAAUCCUAGAGCUGGAACCCAGGUAUUGGACUAUCUGAUUGGGGAAAUAGGCUGUAGAAAGAGGUAGAAAGUUCAAAUAGAGCAGACAUGGUGAGGGUAUCAGGAAAAUAUGGGCUCAUUUCAACAACUGCAGCAUCCAGGCCCUGAGUAAUGGAGUUUGUGGAAAUCAGGAUUAUACCUAGCUACAUGAAUUUGGGGGCAUGCCUUUAAUUCCACUAGUGGCUUAGACUAAAAGCGGA